GUCAAUUUGGUCUUAUUAAGUUUCGGAUUUAGAUUGAUUAGUGAUGUAGAUGCUACAAAGGCCUUCCUUCAUGCUUGAUCAAUAGAGUAUGUGAAGAUCUUAGUGAGCUUGUUGUGCUAUCUACAAGACUUACUAUAGAAAUUGAUAUGAUAUUGAUUAAGUGCAUAUUGAUGCUUCUGACAUAUUUGAACAGUGUUGCCUUGUUGUGCUAUCCACAAAGACGGC
rnacentral:lncRNA from 1 species